UACGGAGGGGGCUAGCGUUGUUCGGAAUUACUGGGCGUAAAGCGCGUGUAGGCGGCUAUGCAAGUCGGGCGUGAAAUCCCACGGCUCAACCGUGGAAGUGCACUCGAAACUGCGUAGCUAGAGUCCCGGAGAGGAAGGUGGAAUACUUGGUGUAGAGGUGAAAUUCGUAGAUAUCAAGUGGAACACCGGUGGCGAAGGCGGCCUUCUGGACGGUGACUGACGCUGAGACGCGAAAGCGUGGGGAGCAAACAGG
rnacentral:rRNA from 1 species